rnacentral:lncRNA from 1 species
UAAUGGCGUAAGCUGUCUCCUCUCUCCGCCUCAGCUGCCAAACAGGGAAGGGCCCCCUGUCCAGUGGACACGUGACCCACGUGACCUUACCUAUCAUUGGAGAUGGCUCACACUCCUUACCCUACCCCUAUGUCUUGUAUCCAAUAAAUAUCAGUGCAGCCUGGCAUUCAGGGCCACUACCGGACUCCACGUCUUGGUGGUAGUGGUCCCCCAGGCCCAGCUGUCUCCAAUUUUAUCUCUUUGUCUUGUGUCUUUAUUUCUACAGUCUCUCAUCUCUGCACACAGGGAGAAAAGCCCGCUGACCCUGUGAGGCUGGUCCCUACAUCUGGCGCUCCGACAUGGGGCUCUCCCUCGCUGUGUGAAGUUGCACCUUGAGUGCGGGACUCAGCAGAGGAUUUCGACGACAGAUUCCUGAGGAUUGCGGUCAAUAAGCUUGGUGUCUGCAGAUGCCUCCAAGGAGUCCGGAAACAAGUCCAAAGUCAACGACAAGCAAUGAUGGUGAUGGCGAUCCUAGUUAAUAAAAAGGGGGCAGAUGUGGGUGGCAAGCCAAUCAGGUGCCAAGGCAAGAGACCGAGGGCACGAGCUGUUCCAAUAUAAUAAAAUAUAUAAAACAACAAGAGUUAUACUAGAUCUAGAUCAUAGACAUGAUUAUACAUGAAUAUCAUUAAUCAUUAGUUUGUAGCAAUUACGCUUUAUUCCAAUAUUAUAAUAAUCCUCGCUCUACAAUCAUAACCUAGGAAAAGCCAGGCCAUACAGAGAUAGGAGCUGAGGAGACAUGGUGAGAAGUGACCAGAAGACAAGAGUGUGAGCCCUCUGUCAAGUCCAGACAGGGCCACUAGAGGGCUCCUUGGUCUAGCGGUAACGCCAGCAUCUGGGAAGACGCCUGUUGCCAAGUGGACCAUGGUCUAGUGGUAGCGUCAGUGCCAAGGAAAAACACCCGCUACUUAGCAGACCAGGAAAGGGAGUCUCCCUUUCCCUGGGGGAGUUUAGAGAAGACUCUACUUCUCCACCUCUUGAGGAGGGCCUGACAUCAGUCAGGCCCACCCACAGUUAUCCGGAGGCCUGUCUCCCUGUGAUGCUGUGCUUCAGUGGUCAUGCUCCUAGUCUGCUGUCAUGUUCCAUCCUGUGCACCUGGCUCUGCCUUUUAGAUAGCAGUAGCAAAAUUGGUUAAAGUACUAAAAGUCUCUGAUAUGCAGAAAUAAUGGUGUAAGCUGUCUCCUCUCUCCGCCUCAGCUGCCAAACAGGGAAGGGCCCCCUGUCCAGUGGACACGUGACCCACGUGACCUUACCUAUCAUUGGAGAUGGCUCACACUCCUUACCCUACCCCUAUGUCUUGUAUCCAAUAAAUAUCAGCACAGCCUGGCAUUUGGGGCCACUACCGGUCUCCAUGUCUUGGUGGUAGUGGUGCCCUGGGCCCAGCUGCCUUUUCUUUUAUC